rnacentral:lncRNA from 1 species
UUAACCAUCCGUACAAGUUUGUACAAUUGAAUGUAGUGAGUGGUGGAAAGAAUGACAAUGAGACUGUAGACUUGGGAAUUUGUCUUGCACUACUGCUCCUCUUGUUUACCCUACCCUGAAAGAAUAAUAAUAAUAAAGAGGGAGAAAGAAGCUUAUUCCAUUGCAGCCUGGACUGAAGGUCGAUGAAACAAUAUUAUGGUGCCAUGGCUCUGAAUUAUAAGGGGGGCCUUGGCUCCCGGAGGCUGCUGAAAGAUGGUGAAUAAGUUACCUCUUGUUCUUUUUUUUUACCUUUUAUGCAUAUUUUUGAAUGAUAUAUAAAAUGAAAGCAAAUGGAUCAGGGAAAGUAGUACUCCCUUCGUCCCUUAAUACAAGUUAUUUUACGAAAAUGUAUUAACUAAUAUUAAUUGUUUAAUUUUUAAUAUUACUCCAAAUAUUAAAUAUAAUUUUGGUUCUAAUAAAUAACACUCUUUUUUCAAUUCAAGGACAAUAUAAAUAAUUGAUAUUAUAUUUAAUGUUAUACAAUCAUUUCCUUAAUAAUUGUACAUAACUCUAAAACGACUUAUAUUAAGGGACGGAUGGAGUAUCAUUCAAUUAAUAAUUAAAAUCUAUGUGAAAUUUCAUCACUGUCCCUUUAUGAGAAGUUAGGUUGAAAAUUACUAAUACAAGAGAGAAAAUUUCUUGGAAUAUAUAUGUUGUUGUAUAAAUUAGACAAAUUGUUUACAAUAAUAUUCUUUUAUCUUGUACUUGUCAGUUUUCAAAAGGGUAUAGGAAAAGGUUAAGAGAAGGGACCUUCCUAGUACCUACACAAAAAGAUAUCCCCUAGUUUAAGGCAUUGAACAAAAUGGGCUCACAUGAUGGGGGGAGGAUGUGUCAUCUCAUCUCCAUGCCAACACAUAGGCUAUUGAAAUGAACCCUCUUUUUGGCCUAAUGAAAAGAGUGUCGUAUGUGGAGUGAUCCAAUUUGAAACCUUUGCUAAUUUUUCUCAUGAGGGUUGUUAAUCCCACAACUAUGUUAAAGCAAAUUUGGAUAGUGUUAACCCUACUUUUAUGGGUGAUCAUUUUAUUAAAGCAAAUUUGGAUUAUGUUAACCACAUUGUGUUCAACUUUAAUUUCUUUUAAAAAAGCAAUGACCGUUGGAAUGUUCGCAGUAGGAUAUUGUCGAAAUUCUGAAUAAUAGUAAUAGUAUUGCCUGAAUCGAAUGGAAGUCCACUAUCUCCUUAAGACGGUAUUCGCCCAUAUAUAUAUUGUAUAGAGUUACAGCAAAUUCGUCUUCCAAGAUAAGACAAACCCAUAAAUUAAUCUGUAUUAAAUAUUAUGUGUAGGAUAAUAUGUAAUUCAAAACUAUAAUUUGAGAGAGAAAAAAAUAAUUACACUAAAAUUCUUUUAAAGAAUUAUGUGAAAUGAACUGUUCUCCCAAAGGAGAGUUUUCUAAUCCAUUUAUAGGAUUCCAAAUAUAUUUCAAGAAAAAGGCCUAUCAGCGACCGCAUUCGGUCGUAGAUAACUAUCAGCGACCGAAUGCGGUCGCUGAUAGUCGUCGCAUAAAAUCUGGUCGCUGGGAUGCACAUCAGCGACCACUAUUAGUGACCGAUAUAUCUGCGACCGAUAUGAGCGAUCGAAAUGACAAAUUCGGUCGCUAAGCUGAGUCAGCAUGAUCCAGGGCCAAAGCUGACGUGGUCCACGUGACCGCGACCACUAUUAGCGACCGCCUGCGGUCGCUGAUACCCUCAAUUGUUUAGCCGUCGCCAUGCGGUCGCUGAUAUGAAAAAAAAACCAUAUUUUUGCUGUUUUGUAGAAUUCUCAAAAACCUAUACCUGUUUUGUACCUGCUUUAUCCCAACACACAUACACAACAAGAUAAACAACAUACACAACAAUAUAAACAUCCAUCGUCCACCAACACAUACACCAAACUAGUAUAUAAACCUUUAAAAACCAAUAUGAUUUGAAUAAAUAUAAUAACAUUUCAAAACUUGUUUAAGUAACAUACAAACAUCCAAAGAAUGAAUAUACAAGUACAAGCUUAUACUAUAACUACAAAACUGAUCUAAAGCAUGUACGUCAAGCAUCAUCGCCUCCUUGAUCACCCUGUAAUUAAAAAAAUAAUAAAACAAGUUACAAAUAUAGUAACUAUAUUGAUACUGGUAUAUAUUACGACAAUACAUACAACAAAUUGAUUUUAUACUUCGUCGCCAUCCCCAUGCUGUCUUGCUGCUGCUGCUGCUGCUGCUGCUACUGCUUCAGCUAACUCCUCAGGACUCAGAGCCCCCAGAUGCCCGCCCAAUAUCUUCAGAAGAUCUCGAUCUCGACAUAUAGCUCUCACACAGUCAGCUGGAGUAUGAACAAUUGGAUGGCUCGAUGACUGUGAAGACUGGGUAGAAGAGCAGCUUGAGCCACUAAAGGAUGGGCGUCGUCGUUGUCCUUGACCUUUAAUGUAGUUCUUCAUAACAGACGCCCUCUCCCACAACUCGUGAUCAAUAGGCGGACGUGGAGUGCCUUCAGGAUAACGCUCAUUCAAUAAACGCUUAUAAGUAUCCUGUCAUUAUGUUAACGAUUAAAUAGUUAAAAAUAAAUUCUGUAAGCAUUGAUAAACAAGAUCAAAUUGUUAAAACUUAUUACCGCUAUUUGGAUAGCAUCAAGCAGACCAUCACGGGUGGCCACGUACACAUCCAACCAAUGGAUAGGCUGACCUUGAGACUUAGACUCCUAUACAAAAAAUAGCACAAUAUUACUAAGUAAAAAUGUGAUUUUUCUACAAUUCAUGAUUGUAAACAUAUUAAAACUUGUAAAUACGUACCCUGGCAGUGAUAUGCUGCAACUGUGAAAUACUGCCGCCCUUGUAUGUUCCUUUAGCCUUUUCGCCAUCGGGUACACCCGAGGAUCUGUUGGUGGCGGCAGUCUUUCGUCUUUUCACCCAGCUCUCAGCUCUCCAUUGGGCACACAUCUCAGCCCAUAUGGACUGGGUGCACCACCAGGGGCUAUGCUCGUGCAUGUAAUCCUCUCCCUGGCCUGGAUGGUCGAUCUCGGCAUUGUGAAGGGCUUUUUGUCUUUCUUUGUUCAAAUUAUCUUUGGUGCGGACCGCGCACUUCUGCCAGAAUAAUGUCUGUAUCACUGAAGCAUGCGCGUCCUCUCAUCUAUACCGUUUCUGCAAAUAAAACAACAAUAAUAACAUUACUAAACAAUUAUCCUUUGAAUAUUAUAUUAUCUGUCAUAAUUAAAAAAAACAUACCUGAAAUUCAGCCCAAACAGCAUCCUUGUGGGCGAUAGGUGUGCUCGCCCACGUAAUCACAGGUGUAGGCCAAUUCUGUAAACACAGCUGUGAUAUGCACUUGACGAUCUUAUUAUCUGAAAAAUCACUAUAAUAUACAACAAUUUACAUCAACGAUAAGUAGAUAUAUUAAAACAAUUUACAUCUAAGUUAUAAUACUUAUGAACAUUUUUCAAACUUAUACUUAUAAUACUUAAAAAAAAAAUCGCCAGAGUCUCCCCUACAAUAUAGACUAGCCACAUGCACGACGACACGCAUAUAUGGACAUUUCUAGGCACCCAAGACACAAACCAAGAGAAAUAUACAAAUUUUCAAUACAAUAAGACCAAAAUAAUAACGAUUGAAUGCAAAUUAAAGCAGUAAAAAAUUCAGACCCAUAUACAUUACCAAUAUAAUACCAAUCAAAACAUUACCAAUAUACAAUUAUACAUGAAUUAUGGAUUGAAUUAUGGAUAAACUUAAUUCCUAGUUAUGUUUUAUGGCAUACUCAUGUUCAUGGUUUUGUUGAUCUUGACGAUCUUAUUAUCUGAAAAAUCACUAUAAUAUACAACAAUUUACAUCAACGAUAAGUAAAUAUAUUAAAGCAAUUUACAUCUAAGUUCUAUAUAUCUUGUAUAAAUAAAAUCUUAAAUGCUUAUAUAUAAAUGAUAUAUGCGGGACGUACAUGCUAUUCGGAGGAGGGCGAAUCUGAAUAAGAAUCCGAUCAUCCGGAUUAGUAGGGGUCUUGGGCACAUGAUUAGGCCCCCUACCCAAGCCGCGCUUUUUCUGCGCUGCUUUAGAAGUCAUUUGUAUAUUACAAAUUUCAAGAUGUUAUUAUGAGUCAUAUUUGAUUACAUGUAUAUAUGAUAAUAAACAUGACAGUGAUAUAAACAUGUAUAUAUAUGAAUAUAAAAUGACAAUUAAAAAAAGUUGCACGGUACCUACUACAGACAACAUGAGUUGUAUUAAUCAUAUGACUUGAGCAUACUUGUAACCAUAUGACUUGAGCAUACUUGUAAGCAUAUGAUUAACAUUUCAGCAUACUUGUAAGCAUAUGACUUGAGCAUACUUGUAACCAUAUGACUUGAGCAUACUUGUAAGCAUAUGAUUAACAUUUAAGCAUACUCAAUGUUAACGAAUGAAUGCAAAUUAAAGCAGUAUGAGAAACUUUAAAUGUUAUUAAAUUUAGUAUGAGAAACUAAGUAAAUACCACUUAGUUUAAUAGUUAUAUUAUAUCAUGUUAUUUUAUUUUAAUUUGUUUGAAAUUUGUUUUUAUUGUUAAUCGUAAGUGAAUACGUAAGGUAUUUCAUUCAUGCUAGCUUUAUAUCAGAGUUAAAGUAUCUCAUUUUUAUAGCCAAAACAGUCUUUUUAUUGACCAAGUGUGUCUAGUUACCUUCUCUGUUGCACUAACAGUUCCCUAGCACUGCCUAUUUUGGCUUAACAACCCCCCCAAUAGCUUACCAUGCUGACAACCAAGCUUGGCUUGGCCCCGUGAGGCUUGGCUAAGCUUGGCGUGGCCUCGUGUGGCCUCGCGGCCCCAAGCCCAACCCAUCAGCUCCAACAGCCCCUUAAUAGGCUCUAGUGGAUCACCAAUAUAUUUAUAUCCAAUUGAUAAGCAGCACCCAGGCUCUCUAUAUAAACAAAACCCAAUUUACUUAGAAUUACUAAAAUUAAGCUACUCACAUAUUCAAACAAUUCAAUUUCUCAUUUUAUUUCAAUAAUGGGCAUAACUUUCCUAUAACCAAAAGCUAUUCUAUAUUUUAAACCUAAAAUUGUUCACAAUAAAAGAGGUAAAAAAAAAUUCAACUAUAAACUUAUACUUAUAAUACUUAAAAAAAUUUCGCCAGAGUCUCCCCUACAAUAUGGACUAGCCACAUGCACGACGACAUGCAUAUAUGGACAUUUCUAGGCACCCAAGACACAAACCACGAGAAAUAUACAAAUUCCCAAUACAAUAAGACCAAAAUAAUAACGAUUGAAUGCAAAUUAAAGCAGUAAAAAAUUCAGCAAAUUAAAUCAAAUUCUUUGUUACGUGAAUAAGAAUAACAUUUGUGUUGUGUUCAGUUUUUUUAAAAAUUGAACCUUUCUAUGUGUUCAGCCAAAUCUGCAGGUUUCUUCCUUUUUCUUUAAACCUUUCUAUGUGUUCAGUUUUUUUUAAAAAAAAACAUUUGUGUUGUGUCUGUUUGGUUUACACUGGAAGAUGCUGUUUUUACUCGUUGGAAGAUAUUGUUUUACAUUUUAUAUGAUAUUAUAUACAUGAAUUACACAUGCAAUAGAGAUGAUAUGUGUAAUCAAUACUUGUGUGAAUUGCACAUGAUUUUAUAUGAUAUUAUAUAUCCAAGAGUUGUGCUUUCCUACAAUUUGUGUAUUUGUGUUGUGAUUUGAUUGAAUGAUAACCAUAUGUGUGUUCUGCAGUUUGAACUGUAUCAUCUGAAGUUUGAUUUGAUAUAGUCUUAUCCGUAAAUAAUUUAAUAUUUUAAAAUCUCAAUGUGUAUUGUUACGAAAAUACUUGUGCCCGAUAAUGUCAAGGUGUAGGAAUAUGUAAAUUUUUGUUGAGAAGUGAUAUGGAAUUCAAUUUUGUUUAUAAACAAUUGUCAAAACAUGAAUUAUUUCUAUUUCAGUUAUUUAGAGGAGUGUUUUUAUGACUUGGAGACAUGUAUCUCAAGAUGAAAGAUGGAUUAGACAGGAUUUCAUUCCAACAAUAUUGUGAUUCAUUGCACAAGGAUCUAUUACAAGUUCAUAACUAGUAUUAAGAUAUUAAUUACAUGAAUUUCAAAUUAGAGGGAUAGUCAAAUUUGAAACUUUCACGUGACAAAAUUAUUACUUGAUAUUUCAGGUGCGCAUUUUAUUCUUAUUCAUUCUACAAUAGAUAAUGUAGGGUUGGAACCAUUCCUAUACUGCUAUCAAGUUUGUUAUACUAUCACUAUCACUAGCACUAGCACAACAAUGGUAAGAAAGAAAUAAUAAUCAAAUUCUAUUUGUGUGGAGUAAUUGUGAUACUAAAAACAAAUUACAGCAAAAACCUAAACGAAUUACCCAAUACCUAGAUUAGGGUUACCAGAUUUGAUGACAAAAACCUAUUUUAAAACAAAAACAAAUUACCCAAUUCGAUAGGUGACUAAACGAAUUACCCAAUACACGGUGUAUUCAUGCACACAAUCGCCAAAUCCAAAGAAUUCACAUACAAUUUCAAACACGAUUCAAGAAAUUACAAUGAAUGAAGAUAAAUACCUGUUUAGAAGAUUUAAUCAAACUCGUUUGAAAAAUUUGAUCUCCUUAGGCAGGUGGUAGGUGGCCGGUGGCAGGUGGCGGCGGUGACGAUCGAGCUCCUCUUCCUCUCCCCUCUUUCUCCCUCUUCUCUCUAUUUCGGAGCUCUCUCUUUUUUUUCCUUCUCUGUUCUGUGUCGAGCGAAUGCCUGAUACUGAUUUCAUUUAGGUUGAUCAGCGAUCGCUAUCAGCGACCACAUGCGGUCGCUGAUUUUUAAUGACAUGGACUUAUCAGCGACCGCAUGCGAUCGCUGAUUAUAAGUGGUCGCAAAAAACUACGCGCCAACAUUUCCUGCCAAAUUUGGGUGGAAAAUUUGUUUUAGCGACCGACUGCGGUCGAGGAUAUCACUUAGCGACUGGAUUAUAGACUGGUCGCUGAUGUCGGUCGCUAUUAAGAAUAUCAGCGACCGGGUAUGCGGUCACUGAUAUAAUUGGUCGCUGAUAGACCUUUUUCUUGUACAAGUUUGUACAAAUGAAUGUAGUGAGUGGUGGACAGAAUGGCAAUGAGACUGUAGACUUGGGAAUUUAUCUUGCACUGCUUCUCCUCUUGUUUACCCUACCCUGAAAGAAUAAUAAUAAUAAAGAGGGAGAAAGAAGCUUAUUCCAUUGCAGCCUGAACUGAAGGUCGAUGAAACAAUAUUAUGGUGCCAUGGCUCUGAAUUAUAAGGGGGGCCCUGGCUCCCGGACGCUGCUGAAAGAUGGUGAAUAAGUUACCUCUUGUUCUUUUUUUUUACCUUUUAUGCAUAUUUUUGAAUGAUAUAUAAAAUGAAAGCAAAUGGAUCAGGGAAAGUAGUACUCCCUUCGUCCCUUAAUACAAGUUAUUUU